rnacentral:rRNA from 1 species
ACCCGCGGCGACGUGGGCGGUUCGCCGCCGGCGACGUCGCGAGAAGUCCACUGAACCUUAUCAUUUAGAGGAAGGAGAAGUCGUAACAAGGUUUCCGUAGGUGAACCUGCGGAAGGAUCAUUGUCGAAACCUGGUCGCAAGACCGAACCGCGAACGAGUGACGCGUCGCGUCCCGAACAACGAACAACGAAUUCCGGCGCGAGCCGCGCCAAGGAAAGGAAACGGAAAGAGGGCGCCCCCGGGCACCGGAAACGGUGCACACGGGGUGCGUUGUCACGUCUAGUCAUGAACCAAAACGACUCUCGGCAACGGAUAUCUCGGCUCUCGCAUCGAUGAAGAACGUAGCGAAAUGCGAUACUUGGUGUGAAUUGCAAAAUCCCGUGAACCAUCGAGUCUUUGAACGCAAGUUGCGCCCAAAGCCUUUCGGCCGAGGGCACGUUUGCCUGGGUGUCACGCACCGUUGCCCCCCCAAAUCCCCCGCGCAGCGGCGGGACGACGGCGGGGGCGGACAAUGGCCUCCCGUGCGCCAGCUCGGCACGCGGUUGGCCCAAAAUUGAGUCCUCAAAGACGGGUGCCGCGAUGUUAUCGGUGGUUGAAACACAACGCUCCAACGACGUCGCGGACCCGUUUCGGAAAGGGGGACGAGAGGGCCCUAAACGCGCCUCACGGCGCUCCACGAGCGACCCCAGGUCAGGCGGGAUCACCCGCUGAGUUUAAGCAUAUCAAUAAGCGGAGGAAAAGAAACUUACCAGGAUUCCCC